GGAUGAACGCUAGCGGGAGGCUUAACACAUGCAAGUCGAGGGGCAGCACUGAUAGCAAUAUUAGGUGGCGACCGGCGCACGGGUGAGUAACGCGUAUGCAACCUACCCUGUACAGGGGGAUAGCCCGGAGAAAUUCGGAUUAAUACCCCAUGGUUCAAUGAAUCUGCAUGGAUUUAUUGAUAAAGUUUUGGCGGUACAGGAUGGGCAUGCGUCCCAUUAGCUAGUUGGUGAGGUAACGGCUCACCAAGGCAACGAUGGGUACGGGGUCUUAAAGGAUGGUCCCGCACACUGGCACUGAGACACGGGCCAGACUCCUACGGGAGGCAGCAGUGAGGAAUAUUGGUCAAUGGGCGGAAGCCUGAACCAGCCAUCCCGCGUGCAGGAAGACAGUUCUAUGGAUUGUAAACUGCUUUUCCGGAGGAAGAAUAAUCGCGACGCGUCGCGAGAUGACGGUACUCCGGGAAUAAGCAUCGGCUAACUCCGUGCCAGCAGCCGCGGUAAUANGGAGGAUGCAAGCGUUAUCCGGAUUUAUUAGGUUUAAAGGGUGUGUAGGCGGGCGUAUAAGUCAGUGGUGAAAGUCUGUNNNUUAACUAUAGAAUUGCCAUUGAUACUGUAUGUCUUGANNNUGGUUGAGGUAUGCGGAAUGUGUAAUGUAGCGGUGAAAUGCAUAGAUAUUACACAGAACACCGAUUGCGAAGGCAGCAUGNNNNGCCAUAACUGACGCUGAGGCACGAAAGCGUGGGGAUCAAACAGGAUUAGAUACCCUGGUAGUCCACGCUGUAAACGAUGAUUACUAGCUGUUGGCGAUACAUUGUUCAGUGGCUAAGCGAAAGCAAUAAGUAAUCCACCUGGGGAGUACGAUCGCAAGAUUGAAACUCAAAGGAAUUGACGGGGGCCCGCACAAGCGGAGGAACAUGUGGUUUAAUUCGAUGAUACGCGAGGAACCUUACCUGGGCUUAAAUGUAGGUUGCAUGAGGUGGAAACACUUCUUUCCUUCGGGACUACUUACAAGGUGCUGCAUGGUUGUCGUCAGCUCGUGCCGUGAGGUGUCGGGUUAAGUCCCAUAACGAGCGCAACCCCUGUCGUCAGUUGCCAACAUGUAAUGAUGGGGACUCUGACAAGACUGCCGGUGUAAACCGUGAGGAAGGUGGGGAUGACGUCAAAUCAGCACGGCCCUUAUGUCCAGGGCUACACACGUGUUACAAUGGCCGAUACAGAGGGCAGCCACCUGGCGACAGGGCGCUAAUCCCAAAAGUCGGUCUUAGUUCGGAUCGGAGUCUGCAACUCGACUCCGUGAAGCUGGAUUCGCUAGUAAUCGCAGAUCAGCCAUGCUGCGGUGAAUACGUUCCCGGGCCU
rnacentral:rRNA from 1 species